CUCAGGCUCACAAAGUGCCGGAACUACAGGCGUGACCCACCACACCCAGCCAGAGACAGGGCCUUCAAAGAGUUGAUGAUGUUAAAACAAGGCUGUCGGGGUGGGCCCUGAUCCAAUCUGACUGGUGUCCUCCUAAGUAGAGGAAACUUGGACGCACAAAGAGACAGCAGGGAUGCACAAGCACAGAGGCAAGAGCUUGUGAGGACACGACGAGCAGGCAGCCAUCUGCAAGCCACAGAGAGAGGCCUCAGGAGAAACCAAACCUGUUGAACUUUGAUCUUGGACUUCCAACCUCCAGAGCUGUGAGAACAGAAAAUUUCUGUUGUAUGAGCCACGCGGUCUGUGGGAUUGUAUUAUGACAACCCUGGGAAACGAAACAGUCCUCUCAGCUUGUUCACCAUCUGAUGUGUUUCCCGCAUACGCCCAGCCCCACAGUCCGCCCUUCCUUUGUCAGGGAUAUGAGGUGUGCAGAGCCCCACACCUGUGCCGGUCAGCAGCUGCCAUGUAGACAGUGGGACCCUGAUGCUGCACAGAAGGUCCCUGGAAGCAGGUGGCCCCUCUCAGGAUGUGUAGAACACAGCAAAGGCUUUAAUUAUUUCUUUUUCAAUACAGAAGCCCGGGUCUCACCUGCAGAGGUUUGGGUGUAAUUGGUGUGGGGUGUGGGCUUCUCGCGGGGAUUGGUUGCCAAGCUUCCCAGGUGAUCUGAGUAGAGCCAAAGUUAAGAAUUGAUCCUGGACCAGGUGAGCCAGCUCACACCUAUGAUCCCAGCACUUUAGGGGGCCAAAGCAGGAGGGACCCUUGAGUCCAGGAGUGCAAGACCAGCCUGGGAAAUAUAAUGAGUCUCAUAGCGAGAUCAUGCAGCUACCGCGAGCCAUGAUGGUGCCAACGCACCCCAGCCUGAGCAACAUGAUGAACCCAAACGCAGGCUUUGGAUUCAGCAGAGCCAGCUGCGGCACCGGCCUCCCACUGGCAUCUGUGUGACUUUGGGCAAUUCUCUUGACCUGUCUGAGCUUCGGUUUUCAGUCUCUCUGAAAUGGGAGGAACCAACGAGGCCAGCGUCUCAAUUUCUGGACUCAACCCUUGGACAUCUUAAGUGGGAUCUCGCUCUGUUGCCCAGGCUGCAGCCAUGACCAUGAC